rnacentral:rRNA from 1 species
GAAUCUUAUCCGNUACUCGCGUAAUGCAUCUAGAUUNUUAGUUUGAUCAUAGGACUCAGAAAUCGAGACCGCUCGGCGGCAGCNAGCCUUAACACAUGCAAGUCGAACGAGAAAGCGGGGGCAACUCCGUGAGUAAAGUGGCGACCGGGUGAGUAACACGUGACCAACCUACCCUGGAGGUGGGGAAUAACCUCGGGAAACCGGGGUCUAAUACCGCUAUGACGUCCACGUGCGUGCAACUCCUGCGUGACCAAGGGAGUAAUUCUGCUCUGGAGAGCGGGAUCGCGGCUGAUUAGCUAGUUGGCGGGGUAACUGGCCCACCAAGGCGAUGAUCAGUAGCCGGCCUGAGAGGGCGCACGGCCACGACUGGAACUGAAACACGGUCCAGACUCCUACGGGAGGCAGCAGAUGGGGAAUUUUGCGCAAUGGGGGAAACCCUGACGCAGCAACGCCGCGUGGAGGAUGAAGUCCCUUGGGACGUAAACUCCUUUCGACCGGGACGAAUGAUGACGGUACCGGUGGAAGAAGCCCCGGCUAACUUCGUGCCAGCAGCC